rnacentral:rRNA from 1 species
UACAGAGGGUGCGAGCGUUGUUCGGAAUACUGGGCGUAAAGCGUAUGCAGGCGGAUCGUUAAGUCGGGGGUGAAAUCCCGAGGCUCAACCUCGGAACUGCCUUCGAUACUGGCGAUCUUGAGUCCGGGAGAGGUGAGUGGAACUCCGAGUGUAGAGGUGAAAUUCGUAGAUAUUCGGAAGAACACCAGUGGCGAAGGCGGCUCACUGGCCCGGUACUGACGCUGAGAUACGAAAGCGUGGGGAGCAAACAGG